GACGAACGCUGGCGGCGUGCUUAACACAUGCAAGUCGAACGGAAAGGCCCUGCUUUUGUGGGGUGCUCGAGUGGCGAACGGGUGAGUAACACGUGAGUAACCUGCCCUUGACUUUGGGAUAACUUCAGGAAACUGGGGCUAAUACCGGAUAGGAGCUCCUGCUGCAUGGUGGGGGAUGGAAAGUUUCGGCGGUUGGGGAUGGACUCGCGGCUUAUCAGCUUGUUGGUGGGGUAGUGGCUUACCAAGGCUUUGACGGGUAGCCGGCCUGAGGGGGUGACCGGCCACAUUGGGACUGAGAUACGGCCCAGACUCCUACGGGAGGCAGCAGUGGGGAAUAUUGCACAAUGGGCGGAAGCCUGAUGCAGCAACGCCGCGUGCGGGAUGACGGCCUUCGGGUUGUAAACCGCUUUCGCCUGUGACGAAGCGUGAGUGACGGUAAUGGGUAAAGAAGCACCGGCUAACUACGUG
rnacentral:rRNA from 1 species